GUCUGAGGCCAUAUCACCCUGCCCACACCCAAUCUCAUCUGGUCUCCAAAGCUAAGCAGGGUCAGGCCUGGUUAGUACUUGGAUGGAAGACAUAUUUUCAGAAGAGACUGCUCAGAGA
rnacentral:rRNA from 1 species